CCAGCCGGUGCCCUAUUCAUGCAGUUCGAGCGCGAGAUAUUCUAUGAUCUCUUCGGAGUGAUUAGGAUGGAUCGAGCGGCGGACGGGUGAGUAACACGUGGGUAACCUGCCUGUAAGACUAGGAUAACUCCGGGAAACCGGAGCUAAUACCGGAUAGUUCCUUGAACCGCAUGGUUCAAGGAUGAAAGACGGUUUCGGCUGUCACUUACAGAUGGACCCGCGGCGCAUUAGCUAGUUGGUGGGGUAAUGGCUCACCAAGGCGACGAUGCGUAGCCGACCUGAGAGGGUGAUCGGCCACACUGGGACUGAGACACGGCCCAGACUCCUACGGGAGGCAGCAGUAGGGAAUCUUCCGCAAUGGACGAAAGUCUGACGGAGCAACGCCGCGUGAGUGAUGAAGGUUUUCGGAUCGUAAAGCUCUGUUGUUAGGGAAGAACAAGUGCGAGAGUUAACUGCUCGCACCUUGACGGUACCUAACCAGAAAGCCACGGCUAACUACGUGCCAGCAGCCGCGGUAAUACGUAGGUGGCAAGCGUUGUCCGGAAUUAUUGGGCGUAAAGGGCUCGCAGGCGGUUUCUUAAGUCUGAUGUGAAAGCCCCCGGCUCAACCGGGGAGGGUCAUUGGAAACUGGGAAACUUGAGUGCAGAAGAGGAGAGUGGAAUUCCACGUGUAGCGGUGAAAUGCGUAGAGAUGUGGAGGAACACCAGUGGCGAAGGCGACUCUCUGGUCUGUAACUGACGCUGAGGAGCGAAAGCGUGGGGAGCGAACAGGAUUAGAUACCCUGGUAGUCCACGCCGUAAACGAUGAGUGCUAAGUGUUAGGGGGUUUCCGCCCCUUAGUGCUGCAGCUAACGCAUUAAGCACUCCGCCUGGGGAGUACGGUCGCAAGACUGAAACUCAAAGGAAUUGACGGGGGCCCGCACAAGCGGUGGAGCAUGUGGUUUAAUUCGAAGCAACGCGAAGAACCUUACCAGGUCUUGACAUCCUCUGACAACCCUAGAGAUAGGGCUUUCCCAUUCCGGGGACAGAGUGACAGGUGGUGCAUGGUUGUCGUCAGCUCGUGUCGUGAGAUGUUGGGUUAAGUCCCGCAACGAGCGCAACCCUUGAUCUUAGUUGCCAGCAUUUAGUUGGGCACUCUAAGGUGACUGCCGGUGACAAACCGGAGGAAGGUGGGGAUGACGUCAAAUCAUCAUGGCCCCU
rnacentral:rRNA from 1 species